rnacentral:rRNA from 1 species
UACAGAGGGGGCAAGCGUUGCUCGGAAUCACUGGGCGUAAAGGGUGCGUAGGCGGGUCUUUAAGUCAGGGGUGAAAUCCUGGAGCUCAACUCCAGAACUGCCUUUGAUACUGAGGAUCUUGAGUACGGGAGAGGUGAGUGGAACUGCGAGUGUAGAGGUGAAAUUCGUAGAUAUUCGCAAGAACACCAGUGGCGAAGGCGGCUCACUGGCCCGUUACUGACGCUGAGGCACGAAAGCGUGGGGAGCAAACAGG